UACGUAGGGGGGCAAGCGUUGUCCGGAAUCAUUGGGCGUAAAGCGCGUGUAGGCGGCCAGGUAAGUCCGUUCUGAAAGCCCGGGGCUCAACCCCGGGAGGCGGAUGGAUACUGCUUGGCUCGAGUCCGGAAGAGGCGAGUGGAAUUCCCGGUGUAGCGGUGAAAUGCGCAGAUAUCGGGAGGAACACCAAUAGCGAAGGCAGCUCGCUGGGACGGUACUGACGCUGAGGCGCGAAAGCGUGGGGAGCGAACAGG
rnacentral:rRNA from 1 species